GCACCGCAGCACGUAUCGUGUCUUUAUUCUAUUUUCUUAUGUAGAGAAGAGAAAAAUUGCACGAGCAGUAUAAUAUAACUAAUUUUACUGAAAAAAUCGUAAUAUCAAUAAGUUUCCGUAUAGUGAGAGUACGGAUAAACACGGAUGAUGGCUCAACAAUACAAUAGAAGUAAUUUUAAUCAAGACAUUAAGAAGGAUUCUAACGAAAGCGUAAUUGAAAUGGAUGUUUGUGAGGCUACAUAUUUUAUUAUAGAUUCUAUAUCUACUCAAUAUAUUGAUGCUGAUGUCAAAGAUAAUUCAAAUAAUCAAGAAUGUAAAGUUGACGAUGAAUCCAAAAACAAUGGUGGUGUUAUUCAAGCAAUGAAGAAUAUAGAGCUUGUAGAAUCUGCUUCUAUUCAGAAUAUGAGUGAUGAGAAAAAUAUUUAUGAUUGUGCACAGGAAAAAGAAAAUAGUGUUCAUACCAAAAAGAAUCCUAAAACUAAGCUAAAGAAACCGUAUAUACCACCAACGGUGCCAACAUCUAGCCGAUGCCUUAAUAUUUUUAAUAAAGCCCAAGAAAUACUAGAGGCAGGUAACAUUGAGAGGCCAAUACACACUAAUGUUGCCAUACAAUUUCCUGAAAACCAUACUAAAGAGACAUAUGUAGAAUUACUAUGCAAGAUAGGCGAGAAUUUGCAACUGAAAGAAAUAGAUGGCGCUAUACAAAUAAAAAUAACAAAUAAGACACUUACCAUCCCAAUUGAUCACUUUCAUGGUUACUUACACAAUGAAAAUGACAUUUGGUGCAUAUUGUGCCGUGUCCAUAUUCAUAAAAGUGAUAUAGACAUACACAAAUAUGACGUGCGUCAUAUGAAUAAUCUGAUAAAGACUGUAGAUUGUAAUGGUUUGAGAAAGGUACACUUUUCCUACAGCCACUGCGUCAUUUGUAACCUGGGCUUUAAAAGCAAGAAAGCUUCCGCUGCACAUAUCGCCACACUCUGCCACAAGAAAACUUUUCACAAUCAGUGAUAGUUGCUGUUGAACAAACUAGUGAUAAGUUUCUUAUAAGUAUAAUAAGUAUAAGUAUUUAUUUGCAAAGAAUAAGUAGGUACAAUAGUGUCUUAGGUGGUAAGUGACAAUUGGUGCUUAUUCUGCUAUUUGUACUAUACAGAUUGUACUAGCAUGCAAAAAUCUUAAAACUACUACAAAUCUGGCUGUAUAUCUUCAGAGAGGAAAUCUUUUUCUU